UGGGGAAUAUUGCACAAUGGGGGAAACCCUGAUGCAGCGACGCCGCGUGAGCGAUGAAGUAUUUCGGUAUGUAAAGCUCUAUCAGCAGGGAAGAAAAUGACGGUACCUGACUAAGAAGCCCCGGCUAACUACGUGCCAGCAGCCGCGGUAAUACGUAGGGGGCAAGCGUUAUCCGGAUUUACUGGGUGUAAAGGGAGCGUAGACGGAUCUGCAAGUCUGGAGUGAAAGCCCGGGGCUCAACCCCGGGACUGCUUUGGAAACUGUGGAUCUGGAGUGCCGGAGAGGUAAGCGGAAUUCCUAGUGUAGCGGUGAAAUGCUUAGAUAUUGAGCAGAACUCCGAUUGCGAAGGCAGCGUACUGGCGCCUGACUGACGCUGAGGCACGAAAGCGUGGGGAUCGAACAGGAUUAGAUACCC
rnacentral:rRNA from 1 species